GAUGAAUGCUGGCGGUAUGCUUAACACAUGCAAGUCGAACGGACUCUUCGGAGUUAGUGGCGGACGGGUGAGUAACGCGUGAGAAUCUGGCUUUGGGUUCGGGACAACCACUGGAAACGGUGGCUAAUACCGGAUGUGCCGAGAGGUAAAAGAGAAAUUGCCUGAAGAUGAGCUCGCGUCUGAUUAGCUAGUUGGUGAGGUAAAGGCUCACCAAGGCAGCGAUCAGUAGCUGGUCUGAGAGGAUGACCGGCCACACUGGGACUGAGACACGGCCCAGACUACUACGGGAGGAAGCAGGGGGGAAUUGUCCGCAAUGGGCGAGAGCCUGACGGAGCAAUACCGCGUGAGGGAAGAAGGCUCUUGGGUUGAAAACCUCUUUUCUUAGGGAAGAACAAAAUGACGGUACCUAAGGAAUCAGCAUCGGCUAACUCCGUG
rnacentral:rRNA from 1 species